rnacentral:rRNA from 1 species
UGCAAGUCGAGCGGACCGACGGGAGCUUGCUCCCUUAGGUCAGCGGCGGACGGGUGAGUAACACGUGGGUAACCUGCCUGUAAGACUGGGAUAACUCCGGGAAACCGGGGCUAAUACCGGAUGCUUGAUUGAACCGCAUGGUUCAAUCAUAAAAGGUGGCUUUUAGCUACCACUUGCAGAUGGACCCGCGGCGCAUUAGCUAGUUGGUGAGGUAACGGCUCACCAAGGCGACGAUGCGUAGCCGACCUGAGAGGGUGAUCGGCCACACUGGGACUGAGACACGGCCCAGACUCCUACGGGAGGCAGCAGUAGGGAAUCUUCCGCAAUGGACGAAAGUCUGACGGAGCAACGCCGCGUGAGUGAUGAAGGUUUUCGGAUCGUAAAACUCUGUUGUUAGGGAAGAACAAGUACCGUUCGAAUAGGGCGGCACCUUGACGGUACCUAACCAGAAAGCCACGGCUAACUACGUGCCAGCAGCCGCGGUAAUACGUAGGUGGCAAGCGUUGUCCGGAAUUAUUGGGCGUAAAGCGCGCGCAGGCGGUUUCUUAAGUCUGAUGUGAAAGCCCCCGGCUCAACCGGGGAGGGUCAUUGGAAACUGGGGAACUUGAGUGCAGAAGAGGAGAGUGGAAUUCCACGUGUAGCGGUGAAAUGCGUAGAGAUGUGGAGGAACACCAGUGGCGAAGGCGACUCUCUGGUCUGUAACUGACGCUGAG